rnacentral:rRNA from 1 species
GACGAACGCUGGCGGCGUGCUUAACACAUGCAAGUCGAACGGAAAGGCCCUGCUUUUGUGGGGUGCUCGAGUGGCGAACGGGUGAGUAACACGUGAGUAACCUGCCCUUGACUUUGGGAUAACUUCAGGAAACUGGGGCUAAUACCGGAUAGGAGCUCCUGCUGCAUGGUGGGGGUUGGAAAGUUUCGGCGGUUGGGGAUGGACUCGCGGCUUAUCAGCUUGUUGGUGGGGUAGUGGCUUACCAAGGCUUUGACGGGUAGCCGGCCUGAGAGGGUGACCGGCCACAUUGGGACUGAGAUACGGCCCAGACUCCUACGGGAGGCAGCAGUGGGGAAUAUUGCACAAUGGGCGGAAGCCUGAUGCAGCAACGCCGCGUGCGGGAUGACGGCCUUCGGGUUGUAAACCGCUUUCGCCUGUGACGAAGCGUGAGUGACGGUAAUGUGUAAAGAAGCACCGGCUAACUACGUGCCAGCAGCCGCGGUGAUACGUAGGGUGCGAGCGUUGUCCGGAUUUAUUGGGCGUAAAGGGCUCGUAGGUGGUUGAUCGCGUCGGAAGUGUAAUCUUGGGGCUUAACCCUGAGCGUGCUUUCGAUACGGGUUGACUUGAGGAAGGUAGGGGAGAAUGGAAUUCCUGGUGGAACGGUGGAAUGCGCAGAUAUCAGGAGGAACACCAGUGGCGAAGGCGGUUCUCUGGGCCUUUCCUGACGCUGAGGAGCGAAAGCGUGGGGAGCGAACAGGCUUAGAUACCCUGGUAGUCCACGCUGUAAACGGUGGGUACUAGGUGUGGGGUCCAUUCCACGGGUUCCGUGCCGUAGCUAACGCUUUAAGUACCCCGCCUGGGGAGUACGGCCGCAAGGCUAAAACUCAAAGGAAUUGACGGGGCCCCGCACAAGCGGCGGAGCAUGCGGAUUAAUUCGAUGCAACGCGUAGAACCUUACCUGGGUUUGACAUGGAUCGGGAGUGCUCAGAGAUGGGUGUGCCUCUUUUGGGGUCGGUUCACAGGUGGUGCAUGGCUGUCGUCAGCUCGUGUCGUGAGAUGUUGGGUUAAGUCCCGCAACGAGCGCAACCCUUGUUCACUGUUGCCAGCACGUUAUGGUGGGGACUCAGUGGAGACCGCCGGGGUCAACUCGGAGGAAGGUGGGGAUGACGUCAAGUCAUCAUGCCCCUUAUGUCCAGGGCUUCACGCAUGCUACAAUGGCUGGUACAGAGAGUGGCGAGCCUGUGAGGGUGAGCGAAUCUCGGAAAGCCGGUCUCAGUUCGGAUUGGGGUCUGCAACUCGACCUCAUGAAGUCGGAGUCGCUAGUAAUCGCAGAUCAGCAACGCUGCGGUGAAUACGUUCCCGGGGCU